rnacentral:lncRNA from 1 species
ACCCCAAAGAACCCAAACUGCUAAUAUUCGAUACCGCUUUAUACUCACGAUCUUGUAUCCACUGACUGUCUUAUUAGAUUAAUCCGAUAAAUUUCAUUUACUCCGCAUACUCAAUCCUACGGACACCUUUUUAAUUCUUCAUCACAAACGUAACUCGAUUUCACAAAACAGUCAAGAGUAAUCAAACCCACUUCAUUAAAAAUCCCAAUUCACCAUUACAACACUGACUUCAGCAACGAUUGC